rnacentral:rRNA from 1 species
AUUGAACGCUGGCGGCAGGCCUAACACAUGCAAGUCGAACGGUAACAGGAAGCAGCUUGCUGCUUCGCUGACGAGUGGCGGACGGGUGAGUAAUGUCUGGGAAACUGCCUGAUGGAGGGGGAUAACUACUGGAAACGGCAGCUAAUACCGCAUAACGUCGCAAGACCAAAGAGGGGGACCUUCGGGCCUCUUGCCAUCGGAUGUGCCCAGAUGGGAUUAGCUAGUAGGUGGGGUAACGGCUCACCUAGGCGACGAUCCCUAGCUGGUCUGGGAGGAUGACCCGCCACACUGGAACUGAGACACGGUCCAGACUCCUACGGGAGGCAGCAGUGGGGAAUAUUGCACAAUGGGCGCAAGCCUGAUGCAGCCAUGCCACGUGUAUGAAGAAGGCCUUCGGGUUGUAAAGUACUUUCGGCGGGGAGGAAGGCGAUAAGGUUAAUAACCUUGUCGAUUGACGUUACCCGCAGAAGAAGCACCGGCUAACUCCGUGCCAGCCGCCGCCGUAA